CAGCCGCCACGGUAAUACGGAGGGUGCAAGCGUUAAUCGGAAUUACUGGGCGUAAAGCGCACGCAGGCGGUCUGACAAGUCAGAUGUGAAAUCCCCGGGCUUAACCUCGGAACUGCAUUUGAAACUGUCAGGCUGGAGUCUUGUAGAGGGGGGUAGAAUUCCAGGUGUAGCGGUGAAAUGCGUAGAGAUCUGGAGGAAUACCGGUGGCGAAGGCGGCCCCCUGGACAAAGACUGACGCUCAGGUGCGAAAGCGUGGGGAGCAAACAGGAUUAGAUACCCGCGUAGUCCCUGUCUCUUAUAC
rnacentral:rRNA from 1 species